UCACAACAUAGAAUGUGCUAACAAAAAAAUUGUAAUCAUCUCUGUUGUUCAUAUAAGGAUUUUCAAAUUUGUUGACUAUUCAUAGCUGAGCUUUAAUAAUAGCUUGUCUUCUCUCUGCUCCACACUCCAAUGCUGCAUGUCUGCUAACAACUAGCUUGGGCUAAGGUAACCAUUUCACUAAUUUAUUUCUAUAAUUUACUAAUCAAUUUUUAAAAUCCACAUUAUGUAUACAGGGCUUAAAACAAUGGUUUUAAAAUUAUCAUUCAUGCCAUUUUAUCAGAGAUAGUUGAAGGCUGCUAUAACUUACCACAAAUUUUUAUUUUUAUAUUUUGCCGCUGGGUUGCCUAAUCUGAAGGCUGGAAGCAUAGUAGCCAAUCAUAGAUUUGGCUCAAUUCCAAUACUGAUCCAUAGGGAAGCUACUGCUGGCUCUGGACCAGUUUGCCCUCCCUUAGGCAGCCCUAGAUCCCAGGGCUUAACAUAUUAAUACCCAACUUAUUGCAGACACCGACCUCCAUGUGCAAGUGAUCCAUCAGCUUCAGCCUCCUUGUAGCAGAGGGUUACAGGUAGAAGAAUGUUCUGAGCCUAUGCCUUCUUUCUUGAUGGCCUGGAUCCCCCCUGAGGUGGCUGCUGCCAUCAUCCAGGCCAGUCAGUUGGUGAGCUUAAAGAGCCACUUCCAAUGGAAAAUCUCCGGAUACUCAUGUGUGGGAGUGCCCUCUUGCUUUUCAAGUUGUUUUGCCUUAACUCAGCUGGGAUGUAUCCUUUUGAACAGCAGCUACUUCACAUUUUAUCUCUGUAACUAGCAGAGUGCUUUAUAUAUAAGAAGACACUUAACAGAUACUGAUUAAAGUGAAGGAGUCAAUUAUCUAAUAAUCAAGUAUGUGUAUUUAUUAUUUGUAUUCUACUUGUGUAUUCUGCAUAUAGUAUCAUACCUCAUGGGUAGACA